GUGUCUGUUUUGUUUUUUCAUAUUUCCUGAGCAGGACACCGGGACUUUUGGAACUCAUGCAUAUCCACCCAUAGUUCAGUAUAAACUGACAUGCAAAAUAAUUUGAAUAGGACAGAAAAAAAAAAAAAAAGGAAAGAACACCAAUGAAAUGCCUAGUCACCACCAUGAGUCUGACUUGUGCUUCUACGUGAUUUAUCAAUAUAGUCAGACUGCUUAGUGUAUGAAUCCAUCUUUGUCCAUGAGCAGGGGGAGAAGAGAAGCCUGUGGUCGUAUCUGCAUGGCCAAUAAUGGUGUCCUUUCAUAGAUAAUAGAAUGUAUAUCAGGAUGCAAGGCUGCCUCUAGUGAGAAUCCAACUUUAAACAGACCAAGCUGGGAGGCUCCUUAUCAAUGAUGUCAUGAGUAGUUUCAGUUUGCCUCUGGGAGGAGUUUUUACAAGAAGGUCUAGCUCCAAGGGUGGUGGACGGAUUCUCUGAACUAGAGGGGCUCUCUCCCCUGUUCUCAUAGCACUGUUCCCUCUCCCAACCAUCCCACAGGACCCGAGUGGGAAGGUAGAGAGUGUGAAUAUCACAGUCUCCCCACCACGCUACUGCAGGGACAUUGCAUAUGCAUAUGCAGAUGAGCCAACCAGAACUGUUCUUGAACUUUAGAAGACUCUGGAUUCAGUGAAAUGUAAUUGGAUGCUCAUUCCUGGGUACCCGUGGGCAAACUGCCUAAGUUCUUUGAGUAACUUGAGAUAGCAAAGAAAGAAGAAAUACAUCUCAGUGAAGACCACAUUUCUACAACACCCCAAAUUUACUUUCAGGGUUUGGCUCUAUUUCUUUCUGUGAGACACAAGAGUUUAGAGCCGGGAAAAUAAAUCUGACUGCUCAUCUGACACAUCCGAUCUGGUUGUUGAAAGGACUGAGAUACCAGCCAAUUGUUCAUGACCUGUCUCAUCGGGAGCUCAGCAGCUGGCUGCUAAUGGUCAGACACGCAGACCUGGCCAGAGUCCACAAUGGAAGGUUGGAGUAUUGUGCUUGAGGAUGGCUCAGGAUGGAGUCCUUUGGAAGGACACCAGCCAGAUGUCCAGGCCCAUUUGGCUGGUCAGGCGGCAGCUGCUUUGUUGCUCUGUGGGAUGAAGCAGCAUUCUCGACCCGUGGAGCUCAGUGGUCAAGCCACAGAGUCAUUCAGAGGCAGGGUGAGGGCAGAGUCCCACACAGAAUGGCAGCACCUGCGGUGUCCGGGGAGCCAAAUACUUGAGCAGUUCCAGAAAAAGUUUAAAAAAAUCUCUCCUCCUCCCAGCCUGCUCUUUGUUAAUUGGAAUUACACAAACUUCAACAUCUGUUACAUGCAUCCAUGCCCAAGAAGAGAUGGAAAGAAGGAGGUGGCGCGGAAAGAUGCCUGGCACUUCCUUUUCCUGGUGGCCCCUCACCUUCUGCAACAUCACUUCCCACCGAGGCCGGAACCACCGAAGACACUCCUUCAGGCAACAGAGGAGCACUUUGGAACAUGCAAAGAUUUGUCCACGGAGCCUCACGGACGGAUGAAAACACGACCUGUCCUGGGUCUGAUUAGCAGAAACACACAAGGAUAAUAAAAGCUAGCUUGCACUUAGUAUGAUUUUUCAAGGCACUACUGGACAGUGUUCCCCCAGUCCUUUGCACUCAACAACAUCCCCAUUUAUAAUCAGAGACUGAUUUGGUGGUUGAAGGACUUACAGGAAGAAGAUCACAGGCUUAGUAAUGGUGAAGCCAGAACUGCCAGGAUUCUGCCGUCAGAUCCCUGUUCUGUUUCCGUGCGUCCACCAGUUUCUGGACACUUGAGGCAGUCGCUGGGGUGGCAGCUGUAAGCAAGACAUCCAGUGGCAGAAAUCUAAGGGGAUCCAGAACCAAGAGCUGGUGAGGGGCCCUGCAAGGCCUCCAGCAUUGAGGCCUCCAGGCCCUUGGUGCUCACCUCAUAGUUGCUCCCAAGAACAGAGCUUUGUCUCUCUUGUUUAUCUAUGGAUCCCUAGUGCCUUGAACAGAAGUACUCAACAAACACUUGCUGAAUUAACUUGGUGCACUAUUAUCCCUCCCAGAGGGUUAAAGGGAAAGGGACUUUGUUGUGGUCCAUGUUGGAUUCUCCUAUGAACUAUGAAGGAGAAUAUUAUAGUGAAUGCUUCGAUGGCUCUGAAGAGAUAAAUAAAGCUUCCAUCCUGGUUCUCUGCA
rnacentral:lncRNA from 12 species